rnacentral:rRNA from 1 species
AUUGAACGCUGGCGGCAGGCUUAACACAUGCAAGUCGAGCGAGCGGCGGACGGGUGAGUAAUGUCUGGGCAACUGCCUGAUGGAGGGGGAUAACUACUGGAAACGGUAGCUAAUACCGCAUACCAUCAGAUGUGCCCAGAUGGGAUUAGCUAGUAGGCGGGGUAAUGGCUCACCUAGGCGACGAUCCCUAGCGGGUCUGAGAGGAUGACCGGCCACACGGGAACGGAGACACGGUCCAGACUCCUACGGGAGGAAGCAGUGGGGAAUAUUGCACAAUGGGCGCAAGCCUGAUGCAGCCAUGCGGCUUGUGUGAAGAGGGCCUUGGGGUUGUAAAGCACGUUCAGCGAGGAGGCGUUACUCGCAGAAGAAGCACCGGCCAACUCCGUGCCAGCAGCCGCGGUAAUAC